rnacentral:rRNA from 1 species
UACGUAGGGGGCGAGCGUUGUCCGGAGUUACUGGGCGUAAAGGGCAUGCAGGCGGUCGGACGCGUUUCGGGUGACAGCGGGUGGCUUAACUACCCGAGUGGUCGAAAGACGGUUUGACUUGAGGACGCGAGAGGGACACGGAAUUCCGGGUGGAGUGGUGAAAUGCGUAGAUAUCGGGAGGAACACCAGUGGCGAAGGCGACUUUCUGGCCUGUUCUUGACGCUGAGGCGCGAAAGCUAGGGGAGCAAACGGG